rnacentral:rRNA from 1 species
GUCCACGCCCUAAACGAUGAUCACUAGUUGUUCGGAAAGGUGACUUUCUGAGUAACGUAGCUAACGCGUGAAGUUAUCCGCCUGGGGAGUACGGUCGCAAGAUUAAAACUCAAAGGAAUUGACGGGGACCCGCACGAGCGGUGGAUGAUGUGGAUUAAUUCGAUGCAACGCGAAAACCUUACCUACCCUUGACAUGCUUGGAAUAUCGCAGAGAUGUGAUUGUGCCUUCGGGAACCAAGACACAGGUGCUGCAUGGCUGUCGU